rnacentral:tRNA from 2 species
GUCCCCUUCGUCUAGUGGCCUAGGACACUGCCCUUUCACGGCGGCAACAGGGGUUCGACCCCCCUAGGGGACGC